CAGCUGGGGACAUUAAUAAUAUUGCCACAAUAUUAGAAAAAAUUGCCGCGGUGAAGGAAAAAAUGAACGAGACCUUUGAGGAUUCGCUCACCACAAUAGACAAUGUCCUGGAUGCAAGUGUGGAAGAAAUCUCAAAAAGCCAACACAACAAAAACACUUCCUCAAGGAUUGUUGAAACAUUAAAUAAUAUCGCAGAAGCAA